CUGGCCCAUGUUGACUCUACAAGGUGUCCAAAGAGUUCCACAGGGAUGCUGGCUCAUGUUGACUCUACAAGGUGUCCAAAGCGUUCCACAGGGAUGCUGGCCCAUGUUGACUCUACAAGGUGUCCAAAGCGUUCCACAGGGAUGCUGGCCCCAUGUUGACUCUACAAGGUGUCUAAAGCGUUCCACAGGGAUGCUGGCCCAUGUUGACUCUACAAGGUGUCUAAAGCGUUCCACAGGGAUGCUGGCCCAUGUUGACUCUACAAGGUGUCGAAAGCGUUCCACAGGGAUGCUGGUCCAUGUUGACUCUACAAGGUGUUGAAAGCGUUCCACAGGGAUGCUGGCCCAUGUUGACUCUACAAGGUGUUGAAAGCGUUCCACAGGGAUGCUGGCCCAUGUUGACUCUACAAGGUGUCUAAAGCGUUCCACAGGGAUGCUGGCCCAUGUUGACUCUACAAGGUGUCCAAAGCGUUCCACAGGGAUGCUGGCCCAUGUUGACUCUACAAGGUGUUGAAAGCGUUCCACAGGGAUGCUGGCCCAUGUUGACUCUACAAGGUGUCCAAAGCAUUCCACAGGGAUGCUGGUCCAUGUUGACUCUACAAGGUGUCGAAAGCGUUCCACAGGGAUGCUGGUCCAUGUUGACUCUACAAGGUGUCGAAAGCGUUCCACAGGGAUGCUGGUCCAUGUUGACUCUACAAGGUGUCCAAAGCGUUCCACAGGGAUGCUGGUCCAUGUUGACUCUACAAGGUGUCGAAAGCGUUCCACAGGGAUGCUGGUCCAUGUUGACUCUACAAGGUGUCGAAAGCGUUCCACAGGGAUGCUGGUCCAUGUUGACUCUACAAGGUGUCCAAAGCAUUCCACAGGGAUGCUGGUCCAUGUUGACUCUACAAGGUGUCCAAAGCAUUCCACAGGGAUGCUGGUCCAUGUUGACUCUACAAGGUGUCCAAAGCGUUCCACAGGGAUGCUGGCCCAUGUUGACUCUACAAGGUGUCCAAAGCGUUCCACAGGGAUGCUGGCCCAUGUUGACUCUACAAGGUGUGGAAAGCGUUCCACAGGGAUGCUGGUCCAUGUUGACUCUACUAGGUGUUGAAAGCGUUCCACAGGGAUGCUGGUCCAUGUUGACUCUACAAGGUGUCCAAAGCAUUCCACAGGGAUGCUGGUCCAUGUUGACUCUACAAGGUGUCCAAAGCAUUCCACAGGGAUGCUGGUCCAUGUUGACUCUACAAGGUGUCCAAAGCGUUCCACAGGGUUGCUGGCCCCAUGUUGACUCUACAAGGUGUCCAAAGCGUUCCACAGGGAUGCUGAC